CCCGCAUGCACCCUGAUAGGAAACCCUGAGCUACCUCAGGACCCGCGGGGAGGCUUCAGGAUAUUGUGGGCCCACAUCCACACUGACAGGAGCCCCUGGGCCACCUCAGGACCCGCGGGGAGGGUUCAGGAAGAUGUGGCACCGCGUCCACUCUGGCAGAAACUCCCAGGCCCCUCAGGAUACAAGUUGAGGCUCCUGGAAGCUGGGGGCCGCAUUCAGAGUGACAGGAGCCACGACCUCCUCAGUACCCUCAGUGACAUUUUGGUAGUACGUGUGGUCAUGUCCACACAAAAGGACGCUGACUUCCUCAGGACCCCUGGUCUAGUCUUUGGGAAAUAUGGGUAUGAGUCCAUGUGGACAGAAGACCCCAGCCUUGUCAGGACCUCUGGUGAGGCUUAAGAAAGAUGUGGGUGCCGCAUGCACACUGACAGGAACCUCCGGCCUCCUCAGGACACACUGUGAAGUUUGGGGAAGAUUUGGAGCCCUGUCAAUGCUGACAGGAGCCCCCAGCCUCCUCAGGUCUUAUGGUGAGGCUUGAGGAAAAUGUGGGUCCACCUCAACACUGACAGGACCCCUGUCUUCCUCAGGACCUGCACUUAUGCUUCGGGAAAUAUGGGGCUGGGUCUAUGCUGACAGGAGCCCACAGCUUCAUCAGGACCCACAGUGAGUUUUCUGGGGGAUGUGAGGCCAUGUCUAGGCUGACAGGAGCCCCCAGCCUCCUGAGGACUUGCUGUGAGGAUGUGAGGAUGUGAGGCUUCCAGAGGAUGUGAGGCAUAGUCCACAGUGACAGGAGACACGGCGUCCUCUGGACCCACUGACUAUGACACAGGAACACGUGGGACCAUGUCCGCACUGACAGGAGCCUGGCUUCCUCAGGACCCCCUGGAGGACUCUGGAGGCGCCGUUGGGGGCCACGUCCAUAUCAGAACGGACUCCUCUGAACCACAGGGGGCCUGGGAUGGAUGGACCUGUUCGAACCCUGAACUUAAAGAGGAAAGACCUUCAUUUUCUUGGCCUCCUUGCAUCACCUCCCAUCAUAUCUAGCUCUUUCCCCCUUCCCCGGAGCUCCUGAGAGAGCAAUUGCAAAAGACCUCAGCUUGGCAGGGUCUGUUGGGGGACAGGCCCAGGGAUUUGGGAUCAGGAAGACCUGAGGCACGGGCUUCCCAGCUGUGCAGCGGGAUUCCAUGCUGCAGACUCUUAUUCCCUAAGGCUAUCUUGACAACUGACUUUAUACAUAGAAAAGCUCUCCUUUAUCUUUAAAAGAUGAAGAGCCAGUCAAAGCCUUUUUUCUCUGCCCAUCUGAUUGCUCAGAUUCCAAUGUGAGACGUAUUUCCUGUUAAUAAGGAUAAUUUACUAUCCGUAGUACUAUGGUUAAAAUAUUCUGACACAAGUAAUUCAGAGGGAUGAGGGUUUCUCAUCUCUUUCUUCACAGCUCAGUCACUCCUCAGGAAAUGGAUCGUUAUGGAUUUGGAAAUAACUGAGAGACAUUAUUACCAAUGGUCCUAUUAUUAUGUGAAGGAUCCUUCCCUGAGAUUCUUCCCCUGUUUCAACUGACACUGAAACACUUUGAACUCUUUGGAAGACAAAUGUCAAGGAAAUAAAUGUUAUGCGCUGCUAAUUUUAAA